rnacentral:rRNA from 1 species
AGAAUCAACGCUGGCGGCGUGCCUAACACAUGCAAGUCGCACGAGAAAGGGGAGCAAUCCCUGAGUAAAGUGGCGCACGGGUGAGUAACACGUGAAUAAUCUACCUCCGAGUGGGGAAUAACUGAGAGAAAUCUUAGCUAAUACCGCAUAAUACCCACGGGUCAAAGCAGCAAUGCGCUUGGAGAGGAGUUCGCGGCCGAUUAGUUAGUUGGCGGGGUAAUGGCCCACCAAGACGAUGAUCGGUAUCCGGCCUGAGAGGGCGCACGGACACACUGGAACUGAAACACGGUCCAGACUCCUACGGAGGCAGCAGUGGGGAAUUUUGCGCAAUGGGGGAACCCUGACGCAGCAACGCCGCGUGGAGGAUGAAGCCCUUGGGGUGUAAACUCCUUUCGAUCGGGAAGAUAAUGACGGUACCGAUAUAAGAAGCCCCGGCUAACGUUCGCGCCAGCAGCCGC